rnacentral:lncRNA from 1 species
AAAAAAAAGAGGUGGUGUCAGGCAAGGGCUUUAGGACGUAGAAGGUCACUUUUGGUUGUUGUCCUGUUGAUCCAACUGCUUUACUAACUGGAGCUAUUGCUCAAGCUGGAGGAUGGAAAAUAAAGGGCCUGUGCACAGCUCGGCGAACUGCUCCGUGGACCUCCCAGCGGGGCUGCUUUCUGAGGUGAUGGUCUCCUCGCUCCUUAGCCAGCCUGGUGGAGCCAGCUACUGACGUUGGAAAGGAGUUGGAGGAUGGAGCACCAGAUACUGCUACACCAUCUCAUCGGCAUGGACCUAUAUGUGGCAGCAAGUCCAUCUCAUCGCUUUUGGUGAAAGUCAGUCCAGUUUGUAAAGAUUCUCAUUGCCUUGGAAAGUGUUCCAGGAAUGGACUUUCUGCAGUAUGAUGACCUGCAAAAGCAGCCCUUCCAUUUACAUUUCAAACUCCAAGUCAGCCGUGUCAAAGUUUGAACCAGAACUGUGGAGGAUAAUGGGUCAGAUGCAAUUAGCAGCCCAGAGAACCACACGUUGCAGUCUGAUUUAUUUUUUUGCCCAUCAGAUUCCAAGAAUCCUAGUGCUUAAAAGCAACUAAACAAUCGCUCUAUUGUACUGAAAUAAAGCCCGGUUAAUUCAGAAAUCAAUUGCACCACCAGGUGGGGCACACUCUGGCCCCAAACAGAUGGGGUUGAAAACUCCCCUCAAAAUGCAGUCUUGUUAAAUUAAAAACUUGAUCCAGGAGUGGAACAAAUAGGGAGCCAUGAAUGGAAUGGAGUCAGGUCCACUCAGGCGGAUUCUUUCUUCUCCCACUCCUUUUCCUUUAAAAAAGAAAAAUUCCCCAUUUCACUUUCAUCAGUGUUAGCAUCUAUGCAGAAACGCAGCCAUCCACCCUUUGCAGUUGAAUGUGUUACUUUAAUUAGUCUGAAAAUUAAAGGGCAACUCCGGGCCAAUGUGAAUGAUUAUGAAAAUACAUGUGCAUCCCAUGCAAUCUUCUCAUUUAAUUAAUAGUCUUGUAAACUAUAUGGCUCACUUUAAGUCAGUCAAGAGGUAUAACAACUCCAUUUUAAAUAUCCACUUAAUACUUAACAGGAUGUGAGGAACACACUAUAGCAUACGGUCCCUUCUCAAGUUUCACUGUCUGAAAUUUUUCAAAGCUGACCCAAGUCAACCUGAAAAAUGUUUAACACCCUGGGCUUGAACACAAGAAACUCUGUGAUGAACAGACAUUCAAUUACAUUUUUUAAAAGUGAGAAGCAUUUUUGUAAAAUAGCGACUCUGGAAACUAAUUGGCAGCCGCAAAACUUGUGAGCAAAGGCCAAAUCUUGUGGGGAACUUUUACUACAGUAACACGACUCAAAGAAAAUGUGAAUAAAAGGCAUCUUUGUUUCCCAGUCAAAUUAGCUGAUUAAGAAAUAAAACAUCUUAACAUGUUUUUAAA